rnacentral:rRNA from 1 species
UACCUGGUGGAUCCUGCCAGUAGUCAUAUGCUUGUCUCAAAGAUUAAGCCAUGCAUGUCUAAGUGCAAGCCAAAUUAAGGUGAAACCGCGAAUGGCUCAUUAAAUCAGUUAUGGUUCCUUAGAUCUUACCACAUUACUUGGAUAACUGUGGUAAUUCUAGAGCUAAUACAUGCAAAACCGAGUCCCGACCAGAAAUGGAAGGGAUGCUUUUAUUAGAUCAAGACCAAUCGGCCGGCUCGUCCGGUCCGUUUGCUUUGGUGACUCUGGAUAACUUUGGGCUGAUCGCACGGUCCCCGUACCGGCGACUUAUCUUUCAAAUGUCUGCCUUAUCAACUGUCGAUGGCAGGUUCUGCGCCUACCAUGGUUGUAACGGGUAACGGGGAAUCAGGGUUCGAUUCCGGAGAGGGAGCCUGAGAAACGGCUACCACAUCCAAGGAAGGCAGCAGGCGCGCAAAUUACCCACUCCCGGCACGGGGAGGUAGUGACGAAAAAUAACGAUACGAGACUCAUCCGAGGCCCCGUAAUCGGAAUGAGAACACUUUAAACCCUUUAACGAGUAUCCAUUGGAGGGCAAGUCUGGUGCCCACCAGCCGCGGUAAUUCCAGCUCCAAUAGCGUAUAUUAAAGUUGUUGCGGUUAAAAAGCUCGUAGUUGGACUUGUGUCCCACGCUGUCGGUUCACCGUUCGUCGGUGUUUAACUGGCAUGCCCGUGUGGACGUCCUGCCGGUGGAUGCGGUCGGCCGUGGGCCUCUGGUCUGCGUGUCGGCGGUCCGAUGCAAUCCUACCGCGGUGCUCUUUACCGAGUGUCGAGGUGGGCCGGCACGUUUACUUUGAACAAAUUAGAGUGCUUAAAGCAGGCAGUGGUUCGCCUGAAUAUUGUGUGCAUGGAAUAAUGGAAUAGGACCUCGGUUCUAUUUUGUUGGUUUCCGGAACUUGAGGUAAUGAUUAAUAGGGACAAAUGGGGGCAUUCGUAUUGCGACGUUAGAGGUGAAAUUCUUGGAUCGUCGCAAGACGAACCUAAGCGAAAGCAUUUGCCAUAAGUGUUUUCAUUAAUCAAGAACGAAAGUUAGAGGUUCGAAGGCGAUCAGAUACCGCCCUAGUUCUAACCAUAAACGAUGCCAGCUAGCGAUCCGCCGAAGUUCCUCCGAUGACUCGGCGGGCAGCUUCCGGGAAACCAAAGCUUUUGGGUUCCGGGGGAAGUAUGGUUGCAAAGCUGAAACUUAAAGGAAUUGACGGAAGGGCACCACCAGGAGUGGAGCCUGCGGCUUAAUUUGACUCAACACGGGAAACCUCACCAGGCCCGGACACCGGAAGGAUUGACAGAUUGAGAGCUCUUUCUUGAUUCGGUGGGUGGUGGUGCAUGGCCGUUCUUAGUUGGUGGAGCGAUUUGUCUGGUUAAUUCCGAUAACGAACGAGACUCUGGCCUAUUAACUAGUCGCUUCCGGUAUCCCUGAGUGCUACCGGCGACAAAUGAUCUUCUUAGAGGGACAGGCGGCUUCUAGCCGCACGAGAUUGAGCAAUAACAGGUCUGUGAUGCCCUUAGAUGUUCUGGGCCGCACGCGCGCUACACUGAAGGAAUCAGCGUGUCCUCCUAGCCCGAAAGGGCCGGGUAACCCGUUGAACCUCCUUCGUGAUUGGGAUUGGGGCUUGCAAUUGUUCCCCAUGAACGAGGAAUUCCCAGUAAGCGCGAGUCAUAAGCUCGCGUUGAUUACGUCCCUGCCCUUUGUACACACCGCCCGUCGCUACUACCGAUUGAAUGAUUUAGUGAGGUCUUCGGACGGUGGCGCGAUGGUUCUUCCUGAGCCGUUGAUGUUGCUGGAAAGAUGACCAAACUUGAUCAUUUAGAGGAAGUAAAAGUCGUAACAAGGUUUCCGUAGGUGAACCUGCAGAAGGAUCAUUA